AUUGAACGCUGGCGGCAGGCCUAACACAUGCAAGUCGAGCGAGCGGCGGACGGGUGAGUAAUGUCUGGGAAACUGCCUGAUGGAGGGGGAUAACUACUGGAAACGGUAGCUAAUACCGCAUACCAUCAGAUGUGCCCAGAUGGGAUUAGCUAGUAGGUGGGGUAAGGGCUCACCUAGGCGACGAUCCCUAGCUGGUCUGAGAGGAUGACCAGCCACACGGGGACUGAGAGACGGUCCGGACUCCUACGGGAGGCAGCAGUGGGGAAUAUUGCACAAUGGGCGCAAGCCUGACGCAGCCAUGCCGCGUGUAUGAAGAAGGCCUUCGGGUUGUAAAGUACUUUCGGCAGGGAGGCGUUACCCACAGAAGAAGCACCGGCUAACUCCGUGCCAGCCGCCGCGGUAAUUC
rnacentral:rRNA from 1 species